rnacentral:rRNA from 1 species
GAGUUUGAUCCUGGCUCAGGACGAACGCUGGCGGCGCGCCUAACACAUGCAAGUCGAACGGAGUUAUUUUCUUCACUCCGAGCUUUUUGCCAGUUAGCCGGAGCGGCAAUCGGUUUUGCCCAGCAUAAAAAGCAAAACCGAUUUAGGCUCAUAAAGUAAGGCUAACACAGAGGGCAGAGAGUUGGGAGUGAAGAAAAUAACUUAGUGGCGAACGGGUGAGUAACGCGUGAGUAACCUGCCCUGGAGUGGGGGACAACAGUUGGAAACGACUGCUAAUACCGCAUAAGCCCACGAUCCGGCAUCGGAUUGAGGGAAAAGGAUUUAUUCGCUUCAGGAUGGACUCGCGUCCAAUUAGCUAGUUGGUGAGGUAACGGCCCACCAAGGCGACGAUUGGUAGCCGGACUGAGAGGUUGAACGGCCACAUUGGGACUGAGACACGGCCCAGACUCCUACGGGAGGCAGCAGUGGGGGAUAUUGCACAAUGGGGGAAACCCUGAUGCAGCGACGCCGCGUGGAGGAAGAAGGUUUUCGGAUUGUAAACUCCUGUCGUUAGGGACGAUAAUGACGGUACCUAACAAGAAAGCACCGGCUAACUACGUGCCAGCCGCCGCGGUAAUUC